UACGUAGGGGGCAAGCGUUGUCCGGAAUCAUUGGGCGUAAAGAGCGUGUAGGCGGUCCGAUAAGUCCGCUCUGAAAGCCCGGGGCUCAACCCCGGGAGGCGGGCGGAUACUGUCGGGCUAGAGUCCGGAAGAGGCAAGUGGAAUUCCUGGUGUAGCGGUGAAAUGCGCAGAUAUCAGGAGGAACACCGAUGGCGAAGGCAGCUUGCUGGGACGGUACUGACGCUGAGACGCGAAAGCUAGGGGAGCAAACGGG
rnacentral:rRNA from 1 species